rnacentral:misc_RNA from 1 species
GAUGAAGAACGUAGCGAAAUGCGAUAAGUAAUGUGAAUUGCAGAAUUCAGUGAAUCAUCGAAUCUUUGAACGCACCUUGCGCCCUUUGGCCAUUCCGAAGGGCAUGCCUGUUUGAGUAUCAUGAACACCUCAACUCUCAUGGCUUGCCAUGAUGAGCUUGGACUUUGGGGGUCUUGCUGGCCUGCGGCCAGCUCCUCUCAAAUGAAUUAGCUUUCCAGUGUUUGGUUGGCAUCACAGGUGUGAUAACUAUCUACGCUUGUGGUUUCCACCAGGUAACCUUCAGUAACAUGGGGGUCUGCUGGAGCUCAUAAAUGUCUCUCCUCAGUGGGGACAGCUCUUUGAACGUUUGAUCUCAAAUCAGGUAGGACUACCCGCUGAACUUAAGCAUAUCAAUAAGCGGAGGA